UACGUAGGGUGCAAGCGUUGUCCGGAAUUAUUGGGCGUAAAGAGCUCGUAGGCGGUUCGUACAGUCAGACGUGAAAUUCCUGGGCUCAACCUGGGGGCUGCGUUUGAUACGUGCGGACUUGAGUGCGGAAGAGGGUCGUGGAAUUCCCAGUGUAGAGGUGAAAUUCGUAGAUAUUGGGAAGAACACCGGUGGCGAAGGCGGCGACCUGGUCCGAUACUGACGCUGAGGCGCGAAAGCGUGGGGAGCAAACAGG
rnacentral:rRNA from 1 species